rnacentral:rRNA from 1 species
AUCGAACGCUGGCGGCGUGCUUAACACAUGCAAGUCGAACGAAGUGGCGAACGGGUGAGUAACGCGUAAUCAACCUGCCCUUCAGAGGGGGACAACAGUUGGAAACGACUGCUAAUACCGCAUACUGAGGGAGGGGAUUGCGUCUGAUUAGCUAGUUGGAGGGGUAACGGCCCCCCAAGGCGAUGAUCAGUAGCCGGUCUGGAAGGAGGAACGGGCACAUUGGGACUGAGACACGGCCCAGACUCCUACGGGAGGCAGCAGUGGGGAAUCUUCCGCAAUGGACGGAAGUCUGACGGAGCAACGCCGCGUGAGUGAUGACGGCCUUCGGGUUGGAAAGCUCUGUUAAUCGGGACGCGGUACCGGAAUAGAAAGCCACGGCUAACUACGUGCCAGCAGCCGCGGUAAUUC